rnacentral:rRNA from 1 species
UACGGGGGGAGCAAGCGUUGUUCGGAUUUACUGGGCGUAAAGGGCGCGUAGGCGGUCAGCACGAGUCAGUUGUGAAAUCUCCGGGCUUAACCCGGAAAGGUCAACUGAUACUGUGCGACUAGAGUGCGGAAGGGGCAACUGGAAUUCUCGGUGUAGCGGUGAAAUGCGUAGAUAUCGAGAGGAACACCUGCGGCGAAGGCGGGUUGCUGGACCGACACUGACGCUGAUGCGCGAAAGCCAGGGGAGCGAACGGG